AACGAACGCUGGCGGCAUGCCUAACACAUGCAAGUCGAACGAGACCUUCGGGUCUGGUGGCGCACGGGUGCGUAACGCGUGGGAACCUGCCCUUAGGUUCGGAAUAACUCCCCGAAAGGGGUGCUAAUACCGGAUAAUGUCUUCGGACCAAAGAUUUAUCGCCUUUGGAUGGGCCCGCGUUGGAUUAGCUAGUUGGUAGGGUAAAAGCCUACCCAGGCGACGAUCCAUAGCUGGUCUGAGAGGAGGAUCAGCCACACUGGGACUGAGACACGGCCCAGACUCCGACGGGAGGCAGCAGUAGGGAAUAUUGGACGAGGGGCGAAAGCGUGAUCCAGCAAUGCCGCGUGAGUGAUGAAGGCCUUAGGGUUGUAAAGCCCUUUUACCCGGGAUGAUAAUGACAGUACCGGGAGAAGAAGCUCCGGCUAACUCCGUG
rnacentral:rRNA from 1 species